GUGCUGUUGGGCGGGCACAGCCUUUGAAAUGGCGGUUUUCUGGCCACCAGUUGGAACCGGCGUUGGUGAGGUUCUCUGUAUUGCUGCUGCGGGCCCUGGUGAGGUGGUGGUAUGACCUCCGUUUCUCAGAUGAGGAAGCCAAGGUACAGAGAAGAUUAAAAUCCACACAUGUCUGCUGGGCAGCACUGCCUCAUGCCCUGAGAAGAGGUGCGGAGGAGAUACAAGUUCGGUCCUGGCCUUAGGUCAAGAGGGCCUUUAUGGGUCAGCUCCCACAGCCAGUGGCUGUUUGAUUCUGGGGAGACUGUUCAAGUUUUCUGAGUCUUGUUUCUCUUAUCUGUGAAAGGGAGUUACUGAAACCUGAAGUAUGAGGAUGCAUGUGAAGGGUGUGUAGUGGGUGGGUGUGAAGUGGUCUCUCAGUGGGGAUUUGAUUUGCAUUGCCCAAUGGCUAAUCACAGUGAGCACCUGCAUGGGCAUUGGUCUUUUCUAUAUCUUCUUUGGAGAAGUGUCUGUUCAAGUCCUAAUAAAAAAAAAUUAGGUUGUUUUUU